rnacentral:rRNA from 1 species
ACACAGGUGGUCGGGUAGAGAAUACCAAGGCGCUUGAGAGAACUCGGGUGAAGGAACUAGGCAAAAUGGUACCGUAACUUCGGGAGAAGGUACGCUCUCGACGGUGAAGUCCCUCGCGGAUGGAGCUGACGAGAGUCGCAGAUACCAGGUGGCUGCAACUGUUUAUUAAAAACACAGCACUGUGCAAAAUCGUAAGAUGACGUAUACGGUGUGACGCCUGCCCGGUGCCGGAAGGUUAAUUGAUGGGGUUAGACUUC